CUACGGGGUGCAGCAGUAGGGAAUAUUGGACAAUGGGCGAAAGCCUGAUCCAGCAACACCGCGUGCACGAUGACGGCCUUCGGGUUGUAAAGUGCUUUUAGAGGAGAUGAGAAAGGACAGUAUCCUCUGAAUAAGCCUCGGCGAACUACGUGCCAGCAGCCGCGGUAAAACGUAGGAGGCAAGCGUUAUCCGGAUUUAUUGGGCGUAAAGCGCGUGCAGGCGGUCUAGCAAGUUGGAUGUGAAAGCUCCCGGCUCAACUGGGAGAGGUCGUUGAAUACUGUUAGACUAGAGAAUAGGAGAGGGAGGUGGAAUUACGGGUGUAGUGGUGAAAUGCGUAGAUAUCCGGAGGAACACCAGUGGCGAAAGCGGCCUCCUGGACUAUUUCUGACGCUAAGACGCGAAAGCUAGGGUAGCAAACGGGAUUAGAUACCCUAGUAGUC
rnacentral:rRNA from 1 species